GUUCAAAAAGAGAUGUGUGGCUGGAUGCGGUGGCUCAUGCCUGUAAUCCCAGCACUUUGGGAUGCUGAGGUGGGAGGAUCACUUGAACCCAGGAGUUUGAGACCAGCCUGGGCAACAUAGUGAGACCCCGUGUCUAAAAAAAAAAAUAACUUAGCUGGGUGUGGUGUUGUGUGGCUGUAGUCCCAGUUCCUUGGGAGGCUGAGGUGGGAGGAUCACAUGAGCCUGGGAGGUGGAGGCUGCAGUGAGCCCUGAUAUCAUGUCACUGCACUCCAGCCUGUGCAACAGAACAAGACCCUGUCUAAAAAAAAAAAAGAUGUGCAAAAAUAUUUUAGUCAAAGGUAAUGUCUGACUAUGAUAUAAAUAAUAGCAGUAUAGUAAAGGAUGAGCAUCCCCAAUGCAGAAAUCUGAAAUGCUUCAAAAUCCCAAACGUUUUGCAUGCCUGCAUGAUGUUCAGAGGCCAUGCUCUACAGAAAUGCUCACUGGAGAUUUUGGAUUUUGGCUCUUCAGAUUAGGGAUGCUUAACUGGGCAUAAGGACAUAUUCCAAAAUAAAAAAAAAUGUAAAUCAGAAACACUUCUGGUCCUAUUUCAAAUAAGGGAUACUCAACCUGUAUAAAAUAUCCAGUGUGUAUAAAUGAAGCAUAUGUUAAGCCCUAGGAGGAGCUCUGCCUGUUUGAGUUUUACCAAAAAUAAGGUAAUAUUUUAUGGUUUUUUUUUUUUUUUUUUUUUUUUGAGAUGAGGUCGCUCUGUCACCCAGGCUGGAGUGCAGUGGUGCCAUCACAGCUCACUGCAGCCUUGACCUCCUAGGCUCAAAUGAUCCUCCCACCUCAGCCCCUCGAGUAGCUGGGAACACAGGCAUGCGCCACCACACCCGGCUAAUUUUUGUAUUUUUCAUAGAGACAGGGU
rnacentral:lncRNA from 10 species